AGGCAAGUGUUUGUUCUAUAGUUUCAUGGCAUUGGCUACUAUUGCUUCUGUUUCCUCAAUCAACACUACUCACCACUCUUCUUUGUUCUUUCCACCGAAACAACACAACAACUACAACACCAGAAUCCACAGAUUUCGAUGCAAUGGAACUAACCCAAAUCAACAAGAUUCCCAACCACAGAACAAUGCAUUUCUCAAGGUUGCAUGGUAUGGUUCUGAGCUUCUAGGCAUUGCUGCUUCUGUUUUCCGUUCUUCAACUGAUGAAGAAACUUCUCCUCAGAGAUUUCUUGAAACCAUUGAUCGUGCUUCUGUUGUUGAUACAAUCAAACAAGACUUCCAAAGUUCGUAUUUUGUUACAGGAGAUCUCACAUUGAAUGCUUAUGAAGAGGACUGUGAGUUUGCGGAUCCAGCGGGUUCUUUCAAAGGACUUCAGCGUUUCAAAAGGAACUGCACUAAUUUUGGAUCCCUUUUGGAGAAGUCAAAUAUGAAGCUUAUGAAGUGGGAAGAUUUUGAGUGUAUUUGUUCAUGCAUAUCGUUCCUUGACAGGAUAAAGGAAUUGGCCACUGGCGAUUCAGUUGUACCUUGUCAUUUCCUUGGAGGCCCAUUCUUUCUGCAACUGGAUACACAGAAUAUUAUUAUGAUGCACAAUCAGGAAAAGUAUGCAGGCAUGUAGAGCAUUGGAAUGUUCCAAAAAUGGCCUUGUUCAAGCAAAUUCUAAGGCCUAGCAGAGGAUUUAGCUUAAAAGAUUAUUUGACUAGGUGGUUCAAAGUUGUCCAGGUUCUUGUCCACAAGGAUCAUUUCUUGUUGGAAAAUGAAGUUGAGGAGCUGGAGAUACAUAUAGCAGAAGUGCUAGUAACAUGAACGAAACUAUCAUUGUGCUCGGUUGGUAGGUUUUUAAAUAAUCGACCAAUCCGAGUGCAUAUAAUGAAGGAACAAAUAACAAGAGUUUGACAUUCGAAGAGAGGAGUUUUGAUCAAAGAAGUGGAAGAGGACUUCUUUUUCAAUUUUUUCAUAAUUUGGAUGUCCAAAGGAUCUUGAGGCAAUGAUCAUGGUCGUUCGACAAAAGCCUUGCCUUGAAGUCCUUGGAGUAAUGUGGGAGGGACAAAUUCGGUCUCAUGAGUUGGUGUAUCAAUAUCAUUUUUUAAGUGCAAGUCCACAAUGAGUUUCGAGUACGAUAACAAGAUCUAACCUUAUCAUUUACUUAAAGUAUCUACCAUUUGAACUAA